CGUAGGUGAACCUGCGGAAGGAUCAUUAAUGAGUUGUCAUGGGGUUCGAUGCUGGCAGCCAGUUUUUGGAUGCAUGUGCUUGCACUAACAAUCAUCUUCUUCCAAACACCUGUGCACAUUUUUGAGGGAGUCUUGAGUUGGUUGCCGCUCUUGGGUGAUUUUCUCACAUUCCCUUAAAUCAUUAUACGCUAUUAACAAUGUUGAACGUGCUCUGUGCCGCAAGGCCAUUAAUAUAAUACAACUUUUAACAACGGAUCUCUUGGCUCUC
rnacentral:misc_RNA from 1 species